rnacentral:rRNA from 1 species
AGGGAUCUUCGGAUCCUGAGUAGAGUGGCGCACGGGUGAGUAACACGUGGAUAAUCUACCUGAUGAUCUGGGAUAACAUUUCGAAAGAGAUGCUAAUACCGGAUAAGCCUACGAUUCCCUAGGGUUUAGUAGGAAAAGAUGGCCUCUUCUUGAAAGCUAUUGUCAUUAGAUGAGUCCGCGGUCCAUUAGCUAGUUGGUGGGGUAAUGGCCUACCAAGGCUACGAUGGAUAGCUGGUCUGAGAGGAUGAUCAGCCACACUGGAACUGAGACACGGUCCAGACUCCUACGGGAGGCAGCAGUGGGGAAUUUUGCGCAAUGGACGAAAGUCUGACGCAGCAACGCCGCGUGAGGGAUGAAGGCCUUUGGGUCGUAAACCUCUGUCAGAGGGGAAGAAACCUCUGUCGGCUAAUACCCGACAGAACUGACGGUACCCUCAAAGGAAGCACCGGCUAACUCCGUGCCAGCAGCCGCGGUAAUACGGAGGGUGCGAGCGUUGUUCGGAAUUAUUGGGCGUAAAGCGCGUGUAGGCGGACUGUUAAGUCUGGUGUGAAAGCCCGGGGCUCAACCCCGGAAGUGCAUUGGAUACUGGCAGUCUUGAGUAUGGGAGAGGAAAGCGGAAUUCCGAGUGUAGGAGUGAAAUCCGUAGAUGUUCGGAGGAACACCAGUGGCGAAGGCGGCUUUCUGGACCAAUACUGACGCUGAGACGCGAAAGCGUGGGGAGCAAACAGGA